UACGGAGGAUCCGAGCGUUAUCCGGAUUUAUUGGGUUUAAAGGGUGCGUAGGUGGCCUGUUAAGUCAGGGGUGAAAGACGGUAGCUCAACUAUCGCAGUGCCCUUGAUACUGAUGGGCUUGAAUGAACUAGAGGUAGGCGGAAUGUGACAAGUAGCGGUGAAAUGCAUAGAUAUGUCACAGAACACCAAUUGCGAAGGCAGCUUACUAUGGUUUUAUUGACACUGAGGCACGAAAGCGUGGGGGAUCAAAACAGG
rnacentral:rRNA from 1 species